rnacentral:rRNA from 1 species
CUACGUGCCAGCAGCCGCGGUAAUACGUAGGGCGCGAGCGUUGUCCGGAAUUAUUGGGCGUAAAGAGCUUGUAGGCGGUUUGUCGCGUCUGCUGUGAAAGGCCGGAGCUUAACUCCGUGUAUUGCAGUGGGUACGGGCAGACUAGAGUGCAGUAGGGGAGACUGGAAUUCCUGGUGUAGCGGUGGAAUGCGCAGAUAUCAGGAGGAACACCGAUGGCGAAGGCAGGUCUCUGGGCUGUAACUGACGCUGAGAAGCGAAAGCAUGGGGAGCGAACAGGAUUAGAUACCCUGGUAGUCCAUGCCGUAAACGUUGGGCACUAGGUGUGGGGAACAUUCCACGUUUUCCGCGCCGUAGCUAACGCAUUAAGUGCCCCGCCUGGGGAGUACGGCCGCAAGGCUAAAACUCAAAGAAAUUGACGGGGGCCCGCACAAGCGGCGGAGCAUGCGGAUUAAUUCGAUGCAACGCGAAGAACCUUACCAAGGCUUG